rnacentral:antisense_RNA from 1 species
AGCCAUAGUAACUACUCCUAUAGUUGCUUGUGGUUAGCGGCUAGGUCGUGCUCCUACACGGCCGAACCGCGUU